AAGUCGUAACAAGGUUUCCGUAGGUGAACCUGCGGAAGGAUCAUUACCGAGUGGCGCGAAGAUUUCCUGUCGUGAGACGGGGAAGCUAGCUACCCGACCUUUUGUCAUUUUGUCAAGUCGUGGCUGGCGGGAUAUUGCAUCGUGAGAAGCGAUGUGGGAGACUGCCAGACGGACCCAAACUUCGGCGGAAGAGGUAGGCGUCGACCUGCCCGCCGCCGGCCGUAGAAGACAUAUAUAUUCUUGAGAGCAAAGUGAAGUCUAAGACGAUUCUUGAAAAAGAAAUACAAAACAAAAAAAAAGCAAAACUUUCAACAACGGAUCUCUUGGCUCUG
rnacentral:misc_RNA from 1 species